rnacentral:rRNA from 1 species
UCAUCCGUCGCCAUGGCCGCACCCUCCCUCGCCUCCCUCGGCCACACCAUCACCGAGAAGUUGACGCGGGAGAACUUCCUCGUCUGGAAGGCGCAGAUCCUGCCGCAUGUCAAGGCGGCAGGGAUGACGGGCUACUUGGACGGCUCAAUCAAGGAGCCCCCUGCCGUUCUUCUCUCGGAGAAGGAAGUCGCCGGGAAGAAGGAGACCGUCUCGACGCCGAAUCCUGAACAUGCCGUGUGGGUAACUCAAGAUCAGCAGGUCCUCACUUUUUUGAUUGCAUCUCUGUCUCGCGAGGUCCUGCUGUAG